GACGAACGCUGGCGGCGCGCCUAACACAUGCAAGUCGAACGAGCGAGAGAGAGCUUGCUUUCUCGAGCGAGUGGCGAACGGGUGAGUAACGCGUGAGGAACCUGCCUCAAAGAGGGGGACAACAGUUGGAAACGACUGCUAAUACCGCAUAUACCACAGAUAUCGCAUGAUAUAGGUGGAAAAGGAGCAAUCCACUAAUAGAUGAGCUUGCGUCUGAUUAGUUAGUUGGUGGGGUAACGGCCUACCAAGACGACGAUCAGUAGCCGGACUGAGAGGUUGAACGGCCACAUUGGGACUGAGAUACGGCCCAG
rnacentral:rRNA from 1 species